rnacentral:SRP_RNA from 1 species
GCCAGGUGUGGGCGGUGGUAGUCCUGUAAGUACCUCGCCCUCUUGGGAGCUGGGCAAAGGGAUCACUAGAGCCCAGGAGUUCUGGGCUAUAGUGUGCUAUGCCCAUCGGGUAUCUGCACUAAGCUCAACAUUAUUAUGGUGACCUCCCGGGAGCAAGGAACCACCAGGUUGCCUAAGGAGGGGUGAACCGGCCCAUGUGGGAAACAGAGCAGGUCAAAACUCCCAUGAUGAUCAGUAGUGGGAUUGCACCUGUGAAUAGCCACUGUACUCCAGCCUGGGCAACAUAGUGAGACCCUGUCUCU